rnacentral:rRNA from 1 species
AGCAGUACGGUAAUACGUAGGGGGCAAGCGUUGUCCGGAAUUAUUGGGCGUAAAGCGCGCGCAGGCGGUUUUUUAAGUCUGGUGUCUAAGUGCGGGGCUCAACCCCGUGACGCACUGGAAACUGGGAGACUUGAGUGCAGAAGAGGAGAGCGGAAUUCCACGUGUAGCGGUGAAAUGCGUAGAGAUGUGGAGGAACACCAGUGGCGAAGGCGACUCUCUGGUCUGUAACUGACGCUGAGGAGCGAAAGCGUGGGGAGCGAACAGGAUUAGAUACCCCAGUAGUCCCUGUCUCUUAUACACAUU